rnacentral:rRNA from 1 species
UUUGGAGGGCAAGUCUGGUGCCAGCAGCCGCGGUAAUUCCAGCUCCAAUAGCGUAUAUUAAAGUUGUUGCAGUUAAAAAGCUCGUAGUUGAAUUUCGAGACCGGUUUAUUGGUCGUGCUUUUGUACGUACUGGUAUUAUUGGUUUCUCCUUUCUGACGAAUCUUAAUGCCAUUAAUUUGGUGUUUUGGGGAAUCAGGACUGUUACUUUGAAAAAAUUAGAGUGUUUAAAGCAGGCUCACGCUUGAAUACAUUAGCAUGGAAUAACGGAAUAGGACGUUUGAUUCUAUUUUGUUGGUUUCUAGGAUCGACGUAAUGAUUAAUAGGGAUAGUUGGGGGCAUUAGUAUUCAAUUGUCAGAGGUGAAAUUCUUGGAUUUAUUGAAGACUAACUACUGCGAAAGCAUUUGCCAAGGAUGUUUUCAUUAAUCAAGAACGAAAGUUAGGGGAUCGAAGACGAUCAGAUACCGUCGUAGUCUUAACCAUAAACUAUGCCGACUAGGGAUCGGAUGAUGUUAAUUUUUUAAUGACUCAUUCGGCGCCUUACGGGAAACA